rnacentral:lncRNA from 1 species
GAGAUGACAUCUCGACCUCCAUUUGAUUCUAAAACUCUCUAAGUUUGCAAUGGAAUGCAGUGUUGGGUAAUACAGAAAUAAAAACAUCUAUCAAGAAGGCAUUUUAAAAAUUAGAAUUUGUAAUUCUUAGAAAAUUUCCCAGGAAGUUAUCAGUAAAAUAUCUAUAAUGUAUUAUUACCCUUAUUCAUAAUGCUUAUUUUAAAAUGAUGUCUACAGAUGGUUGCUGACUUAACAACAGUUUGACUUAUGAUUUUUUGACUUUCAGGACAUAAUCCCAUCAUAAGUGGACAAGCAUCUGGACUUUUAUGCCUGGCACAAAUACAAAUGCUUUUGUAUUUGUAUAUGACUUACAUAGUGCAUCUUAUUGUAAUUAUUGUAUACACGGAUCUCUUCUCUACUAGCCUUGUGCUCCUUCUUAGCAGUCUCCAGUAUUUGUUAUAGCAGCACAAAACAGAUGGACUAAGACAGACAUCUGAUGAGUUUAACACAGUACCUUGCACAUGAUGUCUUGAAAAAGCUUUCUGGGUUUAGACAUGGAAGAUUGGAAAUUGGAGGACAAGAAGCCUGGAUAUAGCUACCCCUCUCUUUUUCUCUGGAUUGGGGAGAGCCCCUUCUCGCAGUGAGUAUGUCUAGUCAUAGUGAUAGCUUUUGCAGGACUGGCCAUCUAUCACUGUUCCAGCCCUCCCUCAGCACCCUCUUUUUUUUUUUUUUUUUUUUUUGGUCUCUUUGGGCCUAGAGGUGGUUACAGCCUUCUUCUGUUGCUAAUUUCUGGGUUUUUCAGCUCUUCCAAACAGCUAUCCAGUAUGCAAGUCUUUCUGUUGGCUUAACUGGCAUGAACUCUGAUGUUCACAAUAGGGUAUUCAGGAAUUUUAGCAAUUUAAAUAGAUAAGCAGAAACCUUUGUGUUUUUAUUUCUGUGUAGAAGGUACAUAGCAGAUAAUACAGAAGUUUCUGAAAUUUUUUUCCUUUGAGUACGGGGAGUAAUGCUUUAUUUCUUAGAUCACUUCUAAGGAUUUAGGUGCUUUAGACAAGGAUUUAUGUUGCUCUAACUUUUCUCUUAUCAAAAUUCCCUUGCCCCUUCUCUGUAGCUGAAAAUUUGCAUAACCACACUUUUAUAGUUGAUGGGUAAAAGGGCAGAGGAGAGAGAAUGUAGAGCCUCUGAACAUCCCGCUUGUCAGCUCAGAGACUCUACUUCAACCUCAGGUACUUCUGAGUUGAUUUUUAACUUUCCUGGAAUAAGGAGUAGCUUUUCUCAAAAAGGGGUGGGAGUUUUGGUGAACUGGUAAGAGAGCAUUUGUUACAAACAGAGGAGGGGACCCAUCAUAGCUGUGAAAGAUCUUUCUUCUCCUGAACUGAUCUUUUCUUUCAUAGGGAAGUAUAUUAAAAGUAUUGAUUUAUACAAUGAGAAUGUUAUCAAUAGUGAGCUGCUCAGAGUGUUCUGGAUAUAUGUACUACUAAUCUUAAGCAAAGAAAGUGCCAGAAGUAGUGGCCAAGAACACCAGGUUCUUGUUUACUGUUAUCUGAUUGAUGUACUCCCAGGGGCUGGAUUGAGUGCAUUUGCUGCCUCCAGGAUAUAUUUUUGAUUGCCUCUAAUUCCUGUAGGCUCUUUUGAAAGAACACAAAGUCAGAUAAACGGGCAAUGGUGAUUUCAGCCAGAGGAGGACUAAUGCCUUCCAUUUAAUAGUAUAAUUCUUGAUAGAAUAGGAUGCUUUUUGGAGAUAAAGGGCCAAGGGACCACACCUAUUAAUUCCCAAGAUGCUCUAGAUUUAUAGCCAAAUAAAUUCUUGCAGUAAAGGGAAACUCAAUAACAACAACAACAAAAUUCUCCCAAUUUUCAAUGAGAUGAUAUUUCCUGCCAGUAACUUCAUAACUUUCACAUAACUUAAAUUUAUGGUUUGAGAUAAUUUUUUGAAGGGAAAAAUAAAUUGCUACUAAAUUUUGGCAUAGGUCUUAUGGUUUUUUGGACAUAUUCUGUAAACAUUGUUAUAAAGAUUAUUUAGAAAAUUCUUCACAGCUCUACAUGUAUAUAUGUAUUUUUACCAUUUUCAUUGCCAAAAUAAACUAGCCCAGGGUCAACAGAUGUCUUUCAGUCUCAGUCUUUUUUGGUGUUGUUUUAAACAUUUCCUUAGAAUCUUAUCUGGGGAAGUCUUCCAGAAGACCAGUGGUGGUUUUAUUGAAUUAAAGGCUUAGAGGCUAAAGUUCAGCUCAGUAAACAUUUGUUUAUUAUCUACUUUGUGCCAGUGAUUUAGGAUAUUUAAGAUGAGUAAGGGAAGUUCCCAGGAGAGUGGGUUUUCUAAUUUUAGCUUUUAUCAGAAUCACCUGGAGAACUUGUUACACCAUGGAUUGCUGGGCCCCACUCCCAGAGUUUCUGAUUCAACAGGUCUAAAGAGGGGACUAAAAAUUUGCAUACCUAAGACUUUGCCAAGUGAUGUUGAUGCAGGCAGUCUGUGGAUCAUGAAAAAAAUCCAAAAAAUAGAUGAUUAAAUUGUGACAUAUAUGCUUAAGAAUUCACAAGGAUACACAAGGUGGGAUUAAUGAGAGUGUGAUUAAGUGUAUUGUAGGAGGGAGGUGGUGAUCAGGGAAAGAUUCUGGCCAAGAGUGACACCUGAGCAGGAUUUGGAAGUGUAGUUGGAAUUCAGAGAGAAACAAUAUGGGAUGGAGAAGGAAUUUUUGUUCAGUAGCAAUGUACAGAAAUGUACAGAGGCGUGACAGAGUAUGAUUUAUUCAUUCAUUCAACACAUUUUAGAUAACUAUCAAUUACAUCUUGAGAAUAAGGUGGUAACAAAUGUGUUUGCAGAAACACUCACUAGCAGAUGACUUGUCUGGAGCAUUAGUAGCAAUGUGGAAUGAUAAGAGAUGGACCUGGAAAAAUGGUCCGGGGGGCCAUUAGUGACUUGUAGAUGACAUAGGCCAUACUAAGGAGCUUGGAUUUUAACUUGUAGAUAAUGCAGAGUAUUUUGGUAAGAUCACUCUGGCAGCAAUGCAGAGGAUGCAUUUGAGGAAGACAGAACAUUCUAAUACUGGGGUAAGAGAGACCAGAAAGAAGGCUAUUGCAAUAAUCUGGGCAAGGGAUGAUAAAGGACCCAGCAAAGUUUGUGAGUGAGCCAUAUGACAUUUAAACAUAGGUUUAAUGCAUUUUUCCCCUCCAUAAGCCCUCCACCUGUCUCCCUCUCUCAUUAGAAUGAUAAUUGUUUUGAGGUUAGGUGUUAAUUUUAGAUCAAAUGUUGUAUGGCUAUACAUGGGCUCAAUCAGUAUGAAGGAAAGUUACUCUUAUAUAAACACCUAAGCAAGUAACAGGAAAUAAGUUAGUCAAUUAGGGAAACAAAUUUGACUAGGUAUUUUAUGAAUGUCUUAAGAGCCAUCUUUGAAUAAGUUAUUUCCUGUUAAGCUGUUGUAUUUAAGUUUAGCCAGUAGCUCUACUGGCAUUGUAAAUUUAAAACUGUCUUCAGAUAUUGUGGAAUAGUUUGGGGCAUUGGUAAAAUUUUAUAUAGAAUACAGAACACAGAGCCUGGUUUUUCUUCUGCUAACCCCAUGGAAUAUCCAAUCAAGAUGGAUUUCUGGCCUCCAUAACUGAGAAAAUACAUUUCUGUUGUUUAAAACACCUGGUCUGUGGAACUUUGUUACUGCAGCCCUGGCACAGCUGAGAAGUUGAUUUUUCACCAACCAGGCUGAUACCAUGAUUUUGAUCUUGGGAGACCACGUGGAAUUCUGAUCUACAGAUCUGUGAAAUAAUAGAUGGAUGUUUUAAGCUGAUAAAUUUGUGAUAUUCUGUUAUGCAGCAAUAGAAAACUAUAUAAACUAUA